GAUGAACGCUGACAGAAUGCUUAACACAUGCAAGUCUUUGGCGAAGCUGUGCUUGCACAGCCUAGCCAAGGCGGACGGGUGAGUAACGCGUAAGGAACUUGCCCUGCAGUCAGGGCUAACAGACGGAAACGACUGAUAAGACCUGGUAAAGUCAGGCGUACUCAUGUCCAGCCUGAUGAAAAGAGAUGCUGCGGGAGAGCCUUGCGUACUAUUAGCUUGUUGGUGGGGUAACGGCCCACCAAGGCGAUGAGAGGUAGCCGGCCGGAGAGGGUGGACGGCCACGAGGGGACUGAGAGACGGCACUAACGACUACGGGAGGCAGCAGGAGAGAAUAUUGGACAAUGGGGGCGACACUGAUCAAGCUAUUCGGUGUGCACGAUGAAGUUUUUCGGAAUGAAAAGUGCUGUCAGCAAGGAAGAAAAAAAUGACGGUACCUGCAGAAGAAGCGACGGCUAACUACGUG
rnacentral:rRNA from 1 species